ensembl:snRNA U6 U6 spliceosomal RNA
GUGCUCACUUCAGCAGCACAUAGACUAAAAUUGGAAAAAUACAAUUAGCAUGGCCCCUGUGCAAGGAUGACACACAAAUUUGUGAAGUGUUCCCUAUUUUU